GGGGUUAGCUCAGUGGUAGAGCACUUGCCUGGAAAGCACAAGGCCCUGGGUUCGGUCCUCAGCUCCG
rnacentral:tRNA from 1 species